UGCUGGGAUCUGGAAAAGUACUUUGGAAUUGGUGCCAUCUGAGGUGAAGCUGGAAGGAACUCCUCUUCAAAAAGCAGUCCCUCAGUGAGCUCAUCUGCUCUCAGGAAUUCAUCCAUUGCUGCUGUGAGGAUGCUUCAAAGUCUAACCACAUGAACCAUCAGUUACCAGCCAUCUACUACCUGAUGAAGGGGAGCAAAAGUGAACACAGGGUGAUUGCUCUUAUGUGUGUCUUCAGGACAAUAAGUUCAAAGAUAAAAAUUUCAUCUUUCUGACCAACAAGAUGGGCUGAACAUCCCAAAGCCUCAUUCUGUCAGUAGAGACAAGAUUUAAAUGGAGGUAACACCCACUAAAGAGCCAUAUACUGAAAAUUGA
rnacentral:lncRNA from 1 species